GAAUAUUGGACAAUGGGCGAAAGCCUGAUCCAGCCAUGCCGCGUGAGUGAGGACGGCCCUAGGGUUGUAAAGCUCUUUCAACGGUGAAGAUAAUGACGGUAACCGUAGAAGAAGCCCCGGCUAACUUCGUGCCAGCAGCCGCGGUAAUACGAAGGGGGCUAGCGUUGUUCGGAAUUACUGGGCGUAAAGCGCACGUAGGCGGAUUGUUAAGUCAGGGGUGAAAUCCCGGGGCUCAACCCCGGAACUACCUCUGAUACUGGCAAUCUAGAGUUCGAGAGAGGUGAGUGGAAUUCCGAGUGUAGAGGUGAAAUUCGUAGAUAUUCGGAGGAACACCAGUGGCGAAGGCGGCUCACUGGCUCGAUACUGACGCUGAGGUGCGAAAGCGUGGGGAGCAAACAGG
rnacentral:rRNA from 1 species